CCCAUGUCACUCAUCAAUAUCUUAUGUCCCUCUCUUCCUUUAUCUCUCCUCUUUCUCACUUCUAGACAAUCAUGCCAUAAUUUGACUUUUGCUGUCUGACGAGACAGAACUUGCCAAUCCUGCCAUUUUCUUUUUCUUUCUUUCUUUUUAUUUUUUAUUUUUUUGAAUAUUGCCAGAUGAAGUGGCUAUAAUGAAUUUUC
rnacentral:lncRNA from 1 species